GACGAACGCUGGCGGCGUGCUUAACACAUGCAAGUCGAACGGAAAGGCCCUGCUUUUGUGGGGUUCUCGAGUGGCGAACGGGUGAGUAACACGUGAGUAACCUGCCCUUGACUUUGGGAUAACUUCAGGAAACUGGGGCUAAUACCGGAUAGGAGCUCCUGCUGCAUGGUGGGGGUUGGAAAGUUUCGGCGGUUGGGGAUGGACUCGCGGCUUAUCAGCUUGUUGGUGGGGUAGUGGCUUACCAAGGCUUUGACGGGUAGCCGGCCUGAGAGGGUGACCGGCCACAUUGGGACUGAGAUACGGCCCAGACUCCUACGGGAGGCAGCAGUGGGGAAUAUUGCACAAUGGGCGGAAGCCUGAUGCAGCAACGCCGCGUGCGGGAUGACGGCCUUCGGGUUGUAAACCGCUUUCGCCUGUGACGAAGCGUGAGUGGCGGUAAUGGGUAAAGAAGCACCGGCUAACUACGUG
rnacentral:rRNA from 1 species